GUCUACAGCCAUGCCACCCUGAACAAGCCCGAUCCCAUCUGAUCUCGGAAGCUAAGCAAGGUCGGGCCUGGUUAGUACUUGGAUGGGAGACCACCUAGGAAGACCAGGUGCUGUAGGCG
rnacentral:rRNA from 1 species